rnacentral:rRNA from 1 species
UACAGAGGGUGCAAGCGUUGUUCGGAAUUAUUGGGCGUAAAGCGCGUGUAGGCGGCUUUGCAAGUCGGGUGUGAAAGCCCUCAGCUCAACUGAGGAAGUGCGCCCGAAACUGCAGAGCUUGAGUGCCGGAGAGGGUGGCGGAAUUCCCCAAGUAGAGGUGAAAUUCGUAGAUAUGGGGAGGAACACCGGUGGCGAAGGCGGCCACCUGGACGGUAACUGACGCUGAGACGCAAAAGCGUGGGGAGCAAACAGG